CACAAACAGCACUGAGGGAAUUCUACAAUGUCACCCAUGGAGAGCCUUUGAAAAGCAUCAGAUACUGCUCAAUCUGUAACACUCAAGAUCCCCCUUAAGGUUUGGAGACGAGGCCCAUGGAAGUGUUAUAGGACGGUGGAAGAGAUGCUGGUCCUUUUCUCAUGGAGUCCAAGAAUGAAUCUAGAGGACAAUAGAGACCAUAUUCGAAUUGAGAAUCCAUGACCCACAAAGGCAAGGAUAAAAAUCACACCAUGAAAUAGCUCCAAAGCUGGGAACACAGCCUGUAACUCCCUACUUACAGUCCAUGGGACUUCCCAGAAGACCAGACUGCAAUAAAUACAGCCA